rnacentral:rRNA from 1 species
GUCAGCAGGGACCGCACGUUGAAGACAGCAGUCCACAAUGGAUCAAAGAAGUUGAGCAACGUUGCGCGUUGUUGGUAUCUGGAUGGGUGACCAUCUAAUCGCGUGCUGCUGGCU